rnacentral:lncRNA from 1 species
AACAGUAUUUCCAUUUAUUGGUAUAAUUCAAUACAUGGAGUGCAUUGACCAUACACAGAAUUAAGUGAUAGGCUGAUUUUUAUUUGUCUGAGUGGGAUUGUAGUGGUCAGAAGUAAGGACAGAAUUUAGGACAUUAUCCCUCCUGGGCUGCUGAGUCUCCUCAGAUUCUGUAGACUUCAGUGGGGACCAGAGGACAGAAGUUCCUUAUGGAAUGGUGUCUUUGGGAAUUGCUGACUUGUGACAGCCAGCAAAGCUAAGUUGGCAGUGGGGACAGCUUCUGUGCUCACUGUACAUCCGGUGUUACUGAAAUGACUUUACUCAGAGUAUUACACUGUGGUGGUAUGCUGCAAUAGAAGGUCGUUGCUGUCAUAUUCUGUACCUCUGCUUAUUGAAAUGAACACCAUAAUAAAAUAUAAUAGAAUAUAUAUGUUAUAAUAGAAUAUGUAUAUAUUCCUUUCCUCUGUUACCAUGGUGAUUGCUCUUAAAAAGAUACUAUAAUAAAAAAUUAAGUAAUAAUUACUUCAUUUAAAAACAAACAAACCCCAUGACCUGGUUCCCUUGAAAGAUUAAGCAAUUCUGACUAGAACAGGAACUAUCUGCUAAGAACAGUGAAUUGUUAUGGUGAAGCUGGAGGGUGUCUCUUUCAUGGAAAUGAAACGAAUUAAGAAAAUCCCAACACUGAUAUGGUAAGUUCACUUUACUGAAAUUAGUUGCCACAAGAAAUCACUGAAAAAAUAGGCCUUUAUAAUUUUUGUUAAAUUGGGCUAUUCUCAUGGUGUUAAAAUAUGAAUGUAUGAAAGAACUUAAUUGUAGAAUCUGUAAUGUUGACCUUCUUUUGAUAACUUAGCUUUGGCGUAGCCUCUGCUUUUACAUGAGAGCACUCAGUUUGUAGUGCUGGCUCAAACCCGCUGUAUGGCUACUGAGCUUCAGCAGGUUUAGCACUUCUCUACUCUAGACACAGCAUUUGUAUGUUUUUUUCCUCCCCAAAGAAGUAAAUUAUUUAUACAGCAUAAACCUUUUUUAACCUAGCUUCUGACAGGCUGGGAUUUUUCCAAUCUCAGUUGAAACUGUCUAAAUAAUUUAUCAAGUAUUCUUUCAGUGUACAAUGAAUUCUGAAACCUAAGAAAUGUUAAAUGAGAUUCUCUGCCCUUACAGUAUGAGUGGGUUACUGAGGUUAAGCUAGUAUUUUCUUUGAACUUUUCUCAGUCCCCGUUUUCUCCCAUUGCAGAAUCUCCUUUUCCUCUCCUACUAUCUAUUAAUUUUCAUGACAUUUUCUAUUUAUCAGCCUUUUCUUUUGUGUUUCUCUUUCUCUUGCUACCUCUUCCCUUGCUGAUGUUUUUCUAUACCUCUUCUUCAUUGCAGGAAGACAGCUUCCCUUAAAAUGGUCCUCCAGAGAGAGGAACCAUCAAUUUCCAGUCCCAAGAUGCACAGGCAGUCCUGGAUCUUUCAGUCCAGCCUCAAAUUUAACUGCACCUUCUCCACCUAUCUCCAUAAAGAAAAUGGUGACAAAUCACAGAAUCACAGUCAUAGAAUGGUUUGACUUGGAAAGGACCUUUACAGGUCCUGUAGUCCAACCUGUGUGGGCAAGGACAUCUUCAAGUAGAUCAGGUUGCUUUGAGCUCUGUUCAACCUGGCCUUGAAUGUUUCCAGGGAUGGGGUAUCUGCCACCUCUCUGGACAGCCUGUUCCAGUGUUCUGUCACCCUCACCAUAAAAAAUUUCUUCCUUAUAUCCUGUCUAAAUUUAUAAAUCUAAUUUCUUUCAGUCUAAAAUCAUUACCCCUUGUAUAUUGCUACAGGCCCUGCUACUAAAAAGUCAAUCCCCCGUCUUAAAAAGUCUUGAGGUCUCUGGUAAAGAAGAAAGAUGCUUACACAGAACUUGGAUCUGCAAACAUGUAAACCUGAAAAAAUGUAUUUUCAGGUCAGGUAUCUCACACACACCAACUCCAAUCCAUUUCUAUCUGGUCAAGACUUCCUCUAAGAUUGCCUUCAUUUUAUAGCACUGUGAUAAUUAUGUCUCAAAAAACCACUUAAGUUUGUAAAAACACAAAAAAACCUUCCACCAAGACUUGGAUCCAUUCCAAAUUUUCCAGCAGGCAUUUUAAUCCUUUUAAAGUUUAGUCAGUGGUCCAGGUGGCUUCCAAAUUUCUUUUCAGCAUGAAAAAAAUAACAAAGUAGCACUCCAUAGAGAUUUUUAUUUAGGCUCAGCAAUUCAGUAUUGUAUCCCUUAUGAAUUAAUGAUAUCAUGAACUCUGCUUCAAGAUGUCUGAAGUAACCUCACAGCUAAAAAAAGAAGAAGUCUGGACUGGCUGCUGAUUUCUGUAAUUCUGCUGUAUUGUAACUGUUUAAACUGAACAUAUUCCUUUAAGGAAGCUAUUUAUUUUUUAAGUUUAAAACAAAGCAAACUUUGGAGAAGAUUACCUGUCUGAGACCCCGUGUCAGAGAAGAAAUAGUGUCCAGGCAUCAUUUUGUAAGAGAUGCUCACCAAAUUAUUUUUCCAAAGGUUUCCUCGUGUAAAACUAUGUUCUUCCCAUAUAUAUUAAAAAUAGAUUUGUUACAUCCUAACUUUUGUGUUAUUAUUUCAAGAAUAAAGUUUUGAUUUCAAUUUGAGGAAAAGCAGUUCUUCCACUUUAUGGCUAUUAUAAUAUUAAUAAAAUACUUUAAAACUGUAUGUGUAAAGGUUUGUUAUGAGAUAUGCAAGCUCACCUGUAUCUGAUAUAUUGAUAUCUGAUAAUAAUUUUGCAGAAGUCUACAAUAAUUUAAUUUUACUCCAAUACUCUAGUUUGACUUUUAUUUUUUAUACAAUUUAAUUAAAAUUUAAAUAUGAGGAAAGCUUUGUCACUACAUAGCUUCGUCUGCUGUAUAUUUUCCUUUUUACAAACCAGUCUACUUGGAGUUGAAGAAAUAGGGAAGAGAUGGUCCAUAAUCCCAGCUUCCCACUAGAUGACGCUCUAAGUACAAAAACACAAACUUUAGCAUAUUCAUAAAUUUAUGCGUAAACUGCUUAAACACAUUAUGUGUCCAUUAAUUUACAGCUCUUACGUGCUUAUAAAGAUUGAUGAUAGGGAGGCACAGUGGCCUGUGAAAGAUUGGAAAAACAGUGGUUCUUCUGUUCAAAAGUAUGGCUAUAGGUAUUUCCCCUGGUAUGUCUAUAGCCAUAGCACAUCAUUUAACUUCAGUGUUAAUUGUUUUGGUCCCAUGUGCUACAACACACUAGCUAACAGCAUUUUUUUCUUACUUGCUUGAAGCUUACUCUAAUGUGGUUAAAUGCCAAAAUUUACUAUACUUUACUCCCGUAAGAUGUAGUAAUUUGGAUAGAUACCUAGGUGUUAAAAUACACCAUGUAUUGCAUGGAUAUAUCAUGCAGAAGCAUGCACACUCACACAUAUUUACCAACUAGAAUAAACAGAUAAAAGCUAUUAAAUAACUCUGUAUUCACCUGAGCCCUUCCUCACAGUUAUCUUUACAUAAAGUACCAUAAAGGAAACACUGUCACGUCAAUGCCUUCCUAGUAAAGUGUCUUCCAUCUGUACGGUUUCUUUAUAAAAGAUGUAAGACCAAGUUAUGAAACGAUGUUGGAGAACUUGAACUGCUAGAGUGACAAUGCAUAAUUACACUUCAAUGCUGUAAUUGUUUAUGUUUUGUAUAAUCUAUUCUUAAAAAAAGAAAAAUAUAUUUAAAAUUUAAAUUAUUUAAAAUGAUUGAAAUGCUCAUUGUCAAAACACAAUAUGCAAAAGAAAAAAAGAAAAACAACCUAGCAAAAUUUCAACCAGAAAGGUUGCUAUUGUCAGAAAACAAUGCUGGCAUUAAAAAUGUCUCAUUUAUUCUAACAUAUAGUGACCUCUGAGUGCCUUAUCAGCAACAGAGUGUGUUGUUCAAGCUAUGUGGAAAAGCUUUGGGAUUCAAGAGAAGUGGGCACACAGCACAAUUACAGUGACAAUUUGUUUGAAGGCGCCUUGUCCAUCAGUGGCAAACCUGAUUCAUAAA